AUAGUGUUUUUGUCCACUUCAGCUGCCCCAUUGUUCUUACUGUAUAGAUAGUAUUAUUGUUCAAUAUUGGCCAGAUUAUAGUGUAUGGUAAAUUGGUUAAGUCUCUUAUUGAAUUCAACUUCAUCUCAGGUUCGAUCCAUGCCCCACCUAUUUUUUUGCCCAUUUGUUAAAAAUACACUACGGACUGAAGACACCUCUCAAAACCCUAAUCUUAACCCUCACCCCUCACCUCAUCUUCCUUGCCCAAAACCCCUGGAUUUCUUCUCAAAUCUACAACAAAGCUUUCCAGAACACCACCACCAUCGUCACUUUUCUGGUCAAAACCCAUCACCCUGUCUAGCUCGGUGGUGGUGGCGAUGUGGGUGUUGGUGGCGUUCUUCACGAGAAAGGAAAAAUACAUGAGCGCAUGAGCGGGAGAUGAUGUUCUGUGGUGGUGAGCAACCAAGGACAAUAUACGCAUCGACGACCGUGUAAACAUCAUGUGGUGGCGAUUUAGGGAUUUUUUGGACUGGAUCUUGCGGCACCGACGGCUCCGUGAGCAGUGACUGAAAGAUUUUGUGGUGUAUUGGCCACUGUUUCGCAGAUCUAGAAACGAUGAACUAUGGAGAAAACUUAGGUUGCGCCACUGGUCUCGCCAGCAAACACUCCGAUCACCUGCCAAGAUUUUGGGAAUGGGAAUUUAGCUAAUUUUGUAAAGAUGGUUCUUGCGAUUUAGCAUAUCAGUUUCUGCAUAUUUUGGUUGUUGCUCUGGUGCUCACCACAUGUUUCAUGCUCACAAAAGGUAAGUAAGUUACCAACCUUGCAUUUCAUUUAGUUUCAUAAUUCAACUUUGCAUCUUUUGACUUGUAUAUGUUAAUAAGGAAACCGGAUGAAUAGUAAAAGGAGUCGUGGGUUGUCUUGAUUCGUUCACAUGUCGUGCCCUCAUAGCGGUCAUCAUCGGAAAAGCUAGAAAUUGUUUAACUUCAAUCUGUCACAGAUGAAGAAAACGAACACUAUAGCAAUAAAACGAUAGUUCGGACAAAAUCAUCACCGUUUUCUGCUCCUUAAACCUGCAUCAGAAAUCCAGUGAGUCGUUGGCGUAUUUCAGAUUAAAGAAAUGCCGAAAUAAAGGACAACAUGAAUCCUAAAAUGAAGAAAUCAAAUCUUAGAACAUGAGUGUCAAAUUCAAAUAAGAAACUCAAGAACAUUGACACAAACAGUUAUAGAUUAUUUUCAGGCAUACAUCUCUGUCAACCAGCAGGUAAUGUGUUUCACUUUCUCUAAAUGUUGGAAUCCACUUCCAUACAACACAUACUUCAACUGUUGGGGCGACCCCUUUAGGUCUAAGCAUUUGAUUUCCAUGUCUUUGUACCUUUCCAAAACCAUUUCACAUUUUAGCUCACAUUAUACGGGUUGAUAGAGGCUCAUCAAGAUGGAAAUGAGCUAAUGUUUUGAUCUUUAACACCGAGCAUUGGUGGAACCAUUUCAGUUAUAUGUUAAUAUAUGGGAUUAUGAUAUGUGUUUUUGUCGGUCAUUAGGGAUGCAAAUUUACAAUUUGUCGACUCCCCUGCACUUGCCCCACGAAAAAUUCAAAUUGACAUGGUUGCUCAACAACAGUAUGUUUUGCUUUCGGACUGUAUCAACUAUGGGUUGUUGGUCGUUAUCAUUGUGUGUUUUGCAGACAUGAAGCCGAGCUUGCAGUAGCUGCAAACCAGCCUCUUCUAGAGGAUGACGAUGAUGACACAUUUGAAUAGAGAAAAGAUUGUUAAUCAUAUUUAUAAUCGACUUCGAAUUUGGUGUUAAAUUUGGUUUUUUCUAAUAUUCAAGAGUUGUUUGAGAGAAAGAUAUUCUUUUUUUCUUUAGAAGGAUCAGAUUGUAUGUCCAAGUUUAUGAGCACUUGAUGUUUUUACAAUGUACAUUUGUAUAUUUUUUAUUAAAGCACUGGCUAGCCUUGGAUUUA